CAGGUUUGAGGGAUGCCAAUUUUUGGCUCGAUUUUUCCAAUUAAAUCCCUCGAUUGGGCAGCCUCAAGGCUGGAGGUUGAGGGUAAUUACGUCCAUUUGCUUGCUUCUAUUUUCGUAAUUACGAGUGUUUUGGAGGGCAAUUGAAAGUGUGCCAUUCCUAUGGGAGUGCACGUGUUCUUCUCACGUCCAAGUAUUUCUCGCCAACUUUACUCUCCCUCCCUUCCCGAAGUUACACACCGCUGCAACAUCUCUCUGGUCAUCCUCUCUCUCUCUCUCUCUCUCUCGCCGGAAGCUUCAGAGACCAUCUACGAAUUAGAGAUCCAACUGGGCAUCUUACGUAUGAAUUCAAGCUCCGGUCUCUUGCCCUGCCUCCAUAAAGGAAGAAGAUCUCAUCCCCUCCGUGCGUUGAACUUUGAAGAACGAAGAUCGUCAACGCUUUGAUCGUCGAUUCAUGGAAAAUUUCAAGUUUGUUGUCGCUCAGAAUUACUUUCUUCGAGCAACAGAGGUUGAUUUACAGAGGCUGGAUUUUGAAGGACGACCAAACCCUAGAUAGCUAAGGACUACUGGAAAAUAUGGCUUCGAUCUGCUGGAGAUGGCUUUGAUUGUGCAUAUUUUUGGGGCGUUUUGAUGUUCCUGACAUUUGGAAGAAAAAGGAGUUUGUGGUUGUAUGCAUGUGUUUGGAUCUUAUAUAUAAAUGCGAGUAGAUUCUUCCCUUGCGCUAUUCUGGAUCGUUGGGUUUUCCUGAUCUUUUGUAGAUGGUUUUGUAUAUGAUGUGUAAAUUUUUUUUUUGGAGGAAGGAAAAAUAUGGCUUCCACAACACAUGGAGCUCAAUAUCACACGAUAAGGCCAAAAAAUGGUUUUGAAAAUUGAUUGGGGUAUCAAGAGAUGAAUGAUAGCUAGCUUGUGUUUAUCCGAGAGGCAUCUUUAAGCUACACCUCAGGUGAUGCUAUCAUUAUCGCUUUUGAAAUAUAGAAAGACGAUAGUAUGUCUUCUAGAGAUUAAGUGUAUAUCCUAUCAAAAACUACAUGAAAUUCAUUAACCGAAUAGGGUUUUUUUUUUGUUUCCUGUGAUUUUUUUUAAGUUUUAGGCGGACAUGACGAAGAAGGAUUCUAAUUUCAUUGAGUUGCUCGAGGGCGAGCUCAGAAGUUCAAAAGGAUUUUUAAUAGAGAAAGAGAAAGAGUACAUCAUCGUCAAUGUCAUGCUGCAUUUAAGUUUUGGGCCUAGGUGCCCAUGGUAUUGUUUUUAUUUAUUGCUGUAGAAACUAUUGAAAUUCUAAUGCUUUUCAGAAUCAUUAGGAGGCUCUCUUUUCUAACAUCCAAGUUUUUUGUAGUUGCCAACCGAUUUGGACACAAAUAGCCAUCAGUCUUUAGGUGAAUAAGUCUUGACUUUCCAGAUCUCCCUUUGCUAGGUGGAACCAUCAAUUGGGUUAACAGGACUCAUCAACACUUGCCAAAUGCAUGGCCCAACCGUGGGUUGAAUAGCUCAUGUGUCCUGCAAUGCUCUUAACUAAUUUUUAACGGUGUCCAAUCGGGGCUCUGAAAGCUCAUCACUCUUGCACUAUUUUGUUUUACAGUUACAUCAUUAGUCGUGGGAUUAAAUGUCAAAUCAUCUACAUAUUCACUCUGUCGUUUUGAUGAACUUCAGGAGCGCUAGCCUAUGAGUUAUGACUACGAUUA